rnacentral:rRNA from 1 species
AAAACGACUCUCGGCAACGGAUAUCUCGGCUCUCGCAUCGAUGAAGAACGCAGCCUCAAAC